AUGAAUCUGUCAUGGCUCCGCGAUCGAUCCUAGUUCUCCGCUAAAAUCACGGGAAAACAUGAGAAAUAUGUUGCGCUAUGCGCUAAAUGACGUCUCUCGCGUGUUCUGUACGUUGUAACAAUUAUAUUCGGCUAUACAGUCAGCGCGGUCAGUGUAUUUUCUCUGAGUUUUCAGCGUUUCUAAAUUUAUUCCCUGUCAAACGGGGCGACACAUAAAAUUUUUCACGGGAGCAAGAGCCAACUUGCGAGAGGGAUUCGCCCUUCAAGCACCAGGCGGCGCAGCAGUCGAAUAGAUCAGAGUCGUCAUCAUCAUCGGC